GUACUCUGGAAGAAAAGAAAAUACGUAAGUAAAUGAAACUGUGAAGUCAAAUAAGCAUGGCUUAUGCAGACAUGCGAUAGAGAUAGAGGAAGAAAAAAUAAUAAUCGUGGGCACCGAAUAUCAUAAGCUAAACACUAUUCAAAAACAAGUAGCUCAGCCAAUAUCGAAACUACUCUAUAAAUUUUAUAGUGAAUUUUUUUAUUUAAAACUCAAUGUGUCAGUUUUUGGUUUAA